rnacentral:rRNA from 1 species
GACGAACGCUGGCGGCGUGCUUAACACAUGCAAGUCGAACGGUGAACCUCUUCGGGGGGAAUCGUUGCCAAAGGGUUGGUAACACCGUGGCAAACCUCCCCCCGCCCUGGGGAUAACUCCAGAAAUUUGGGCCUAAUACGGAAGGUUCACCCCUUCCGCCAGGGGGGGGGGUGAAAGGGGUUUCCGGCUGGGGAUGGGCCCGCGGCCUAUCAGCUUGUUGGUGGGGUAGUGGCCUACCAAGGCGACGACGGGUAGCCGGCCUGAGAGGGUGACCGGCCACACUGGGACUGAGACACGGCCCAGACUCCUACGGGAGGCAGCAGUGGGGAAUAUUGCGCAAUGGGCGGAAGCCUGACGCAGCGACGCCGCGUGGGGGAUGACGGCCUUCGGGUUGUAAACCUCUUUCAGCAGGGACGAAGCGCAAGUGACGGUACCUGCAGAAGAAGCACCGGCCAACUACGU